AGAGUUUGAUUCUGGCUCAGGAUGAACGCUAGCGGCAGGCCUAACACAUGCAAGUCGAACGGUAACAUAGAUUGCUUGCAAUCUGAUGACGAGUGGCGCACGGGUGCGUAACGCGUAUGCAAUCUACCUUUUACAGGAGAAUAGCCCAGAGAAAUUUGGAAUAAUGCUCCAUAAUAUCAUUUAUCAGCAUUGGUUUAUGAUUAAAGCUCCGGCGGUAAAAGAUGAGCAUGCGUUCUAUUAGCUAGUAGGUGAGGUAACGGCUCACCUAGGCUACGAUAGAUAGGGGCCCUGAGAGGGGGAUCCCCCACACUGGUACUGGGACACGGACCAGACUCCUACGGGAGGCAGCAGUGAGGAAUAUUGGACAAUGGAGGAAGCUCUGAUCCAGCCAUGCCGCGUGCAGGAUGACUGCCCUAUGGGUUGUAAACUGCUUUUAUAUAGGAAGAAACACUCCCACGUGUGGGGGCUUGACGGUACUAUAUGAAUAAGGAUCGGCUAACUCCGUGCCAGCCGCCGC
rnacentral:rRNA from 1 species